AAGAUGGCGACCGGCGCACGGGUGAGUAACACGUAUCCAACCUGCCGAUAACUCUGGAAUAGCCUUUCGAAAGAAAGAUUAAUACCGGAUGGCAUACGAAUAUCGCAUGAUAUUUUUAUUAAAGAAUUUCGGUUAUCGAUGGGGAUGCGUUCCAUUAGUUUGUUGGCGGGGUAACGGCCCACCAAGACAACGAUGGAUAGGGGUUCUAAGAGGAAGGUCCCCCACAUUGGAACUGAGACACGGUCCAA
rnacentral:rRNA from 1 species